GGUUAAGCGACCAAGCGUACACGGUGGAUGCCCUGGCAGUCAGAGGCGAUGAAGGACGUGCUAAUCUGCGAAAAGCGUCGGUAAGGUGAUAUGAACCGCUAUAACCGACGAUGUCCGAAUGGGGAAACCCAGUGCAAUCCGUUGCACUAUCGUUAACUGAAUACAUAGGUUAACGAGGCGAACCGGGGGAACUGAAACAUCUAAGUACCCCGAGGAAAAGAAAUCAACCGAGAU
rnacentral:rRNA from 1 species